UACAGAGGGGGCAAGCGUUGUUCGGAAUUACUGGGCGUAAAGGGCGCGUAGGCGGACUGCUAAGUCGAACGUGAAAUCCCCGGGCUCAACCCGGGAACUGCGUCCGAUACUGGGGGGCUUGAAUCCGGGAGAGGGAUGUGGAAUUCCAGGUGUAGCGGUGAAAUGCGUAGAUAUCUGGAGGAACACCGGUGGCGAAGGCGGCAUCCUGGACCGGUAUUGACGCUGAGGCGCGAAAGCCAGGGGAGCAAACGGG
rnacentral:rRNA from 1 species